GAUGAACGCUGGCGGCGUGCCUAAUACAUGCAAGUCGAGCGAACAGACGAGGAGCUUGCUCCUCUGACGUUAGCGGCGGACGGGUGAGUAACACGUGGAUAACCUACCUAUAAGACUGGGAUAACUUCGGGAAACCGGAGCUAAUACCGGAUAAUAUAUUGAACCGCAUGGUUCAAUAGUGAAAGACGGUUUUGCUGUCACUUAUAGAUGGAUCCGCGCCGCAUUAGCUAGUUGGUAAGGUAACGGCUUACCAAGGCAACGAUGCGUAGCCGACCUGAGAGGGUGAUCGGCCACACUGGAACUGAGACACGGUCCAGACUCCUACGGGAGGCAGCAGUAGGGAAUCUUCCGCAAUGGGCGAAAGCCUGACGGAGCAACGCCGCGUGAGUGAUGACGGUCUUCGGAUCGUAAAACUCUGUUAUUAGGGAAGAACAAAUGUGUAAGUAACUAUGCACGUCUUGACGGUACCUAAUCAGAAAGCCACGGCUAACUACGUG
rnacentral:rRNA from 1 species